CUCGCUUCUCAGCCUUUUGGCUAAGAUCAAGUGUAAAAAAAUACUCUUUAAUGUUUGAGUAUUUCUUCUACUUCCAGACUCCAAGGACACAUUAGAAAUGCUUUCCAUGUGUGUUUUUUGAAGUAGAAAUGUUUAAAUAACAUGGAACUUCUU
ensembl:snRNA U2 U2 spliceosomal RNA